AUAUACACAAAUUGUACACUAG
rnacentral:snRNA from 1 species